AUUGAACGCUGGCGGCAGGCCUAACACAUGCAAGUCGAACGAGUGGCGGACGGGUGAGUAAUGUCUGGGAAACUGCCCGAUGGAGGGGGAUAACUACUGGAAACGGUAGCUAAUACCGCAUACCAUCGGAUGUGCACAGAUGGGAGUAGCUAGUAGGGGGGGUAACGGCUCACCUAGGCGACGAUCCCUAGCUGGUCUGAGAGGAUGACCAGCCACACUGGAACUGAGACAGGGGACAUAAUCUUACGUGAUGAAGCAGUGGUGAAUAUUGCACAUUGGGCGCAAGCCUGAUGCAGCCAUGCCGCGUGUAUGAAGAAGGCCUUCGGGUUGUAAAGUACGUUCAGCGAGGAGGCGUUACUCGCAGAAGAAGCACCGGCUAACUCCGUGCCAGCAGCCGCGGUAAUAC
rnacentral:rRNA from 1 species